rnacentral:rRNA from 1 species
UGGGGAAUCUUCCGCAAUGGGCGCAAGCCUGACGGAGGAACGCCGCGUGAGUGAAGAAGGUCUUCGGAUCGUAAAGCUCUGUUGAUGGGGACGAACGUGCCUAAUGCGAAUAGUAUUAGGUAAUGACGGUACCCAUCGAGGAAGCCACGGCUAACUACGUGCCAGCAGCCGCGGUAAUACGUAGGUGGCGAGCGUUGUCCGGAAUCAUUGGGCGUAAAGGGAGCGCAGGCGGGCAUGUAAGUCUUUCUUAAAAGUGCGGGGCUCAACCCCGGGAUGGGAAAGAAACUAGGUGUCUUGAGUACAGGAGAGGAAAGCGGAAUUCCCAGUGUAGCGGUGAAAUGCGUAGAUAUUGGGAGGAACACCAGUGGCGAAGGCGGCUUUCUGGACUGCAACUGACGCUGAGGCUCGAAAGCCAGGGGAGCGAACGGG